rnacentral:rRNA from 1 species
AGCGAACGCUGGCGGCAGGCCUAACACAUGCCAGUCGAACGAACCUUUCGGGGUUAGUGGCGGACGGGUGAGUAACACGUGGGAACGUGCCUUUAGGUUCGGAAUAACUCAGGGAAACUUGUGCUAAUACCGAAUGUGCCCUUCGGGGGAAAGAUUUAUCGCCUUUAGAGCGGCCCGCGUCUGAUUAGCUAGUUGGUUGAGGUAAUGGCUCACCAAGGCGACGAUCAGUAGCUGGUCUGAGAGGAUGAGCAGCCACAUUGGGACUGAGACACGGCCCAAACUCCUACGGGAGGCAGCAGUGGGGAAUCUUGCGCAAUGGGCGAAAGCCUGACGCAGCCAUGCCGCGUGAAUGAUGAAGGUCUUAGGAUUGUAAAAUUCUUUCACCGGGGACGAUAAUGACGGUACCCGGAGAAGAAGCCCCGGCUAACUUCGUG